UACGAAGGUGGCAAGCGUUGUUCGGAUUUACUGGGCGUACAGGGAGCGUAGGCGGUUGGAUAAGCCCUCCGUGAAAUCUCCAGGCUUAACCUGGAAAGUGCAGAGGGGACUGUUCAGCUAGAGGAUGGGAGAGGAGCGCGGAAUUCCCGGUGUAGCGGUGAAAUGCGCAGAUAUCGGGAGGAACACCAAUGGCGAAGGCAGCUCGCUGGGACGGUACUGACGCUGAGACGCGAAAGCGUGGGGAGCAAACAGG
rnacentral:rRNA from 1 species